AUGGCUCAGAGCGAACGCUGGCGGCAGGCUUAACACAUGCAAGUCGAGCGGGCAUAGCAAUAUGUCAGCGGCAGACGGGUGAGUAACGCGUGGGAACGUACCUUUUGGUUCGGAACAACACAGGGAAACUUGUGCUAAUACCGGAUAAGGCCCUUACGGGGAAAGAUUUAUCGCCGAAAGAUCGGCCCGCGUCUGAUUAGCUAGUUGGUGAGGUAAUGGCUCACCAAGGCGACGAUCAGUAGCUGGUCUGAGAGGAUGAUCAGCCACAUUGGGACUGAGACACGGCCCAAACUCCUACGGGAGGCAGCAGUGGGGAAUAUUGGACAAUGGGCGCAAGCCUGAUCCAGCCAUGCCGCGUGAGUGAUGAAGGCCCUAGGGUUGUAAAGCUCUUUUGUGCGGGAAGAUAAUGACGGUACCGCAAGAAUAAGCCCCGGCUAACUUCGUG
rnacentral:rRNA from 1 species